CAGGAUGAACGCUAGCUACAGGCUUAACACAUGCAAGUCGAGGGUAGCAGGGUAGCAAUACCGCUGACGACCGGCGCACGGGUGAGUAACACGUAUCCAACCUUCCCAUAACUCAGGGAUAGCCUUUCGAAAGAAAGAUUAAUACCUGAUAGUACUUUUUCAAGGCAUCUUGAGAAAGUUAAAGAUUUAUUGGCUAUGGAUGGGGAUGCGUUCCAUUAGAUAGUUGGUGAGGUAACGGCUCACCAAGUCUUCGAUGGAUAGGGGUUCUGAGAGGAAGGUCCCCCACAUUGGUACUGAGACACGGACCAAACUCCUACGGGAGGCAGCAGUGAGGAAUAUUGGUCAAUGGGCGAGAGCCUGAACCAGCCAAGUAGCGUGAAGGAAUGAAGGUCCUAUGGAUUGUAAACUUCUUUUAUAGUAGAAUAAAGUGAUCCACGUGUGGAUUUUUGUAUGUAUACUAUGAAUAAGGAUCGGCUAACUCCGUGCCAGCCGCCGC
rnacentral:rRNA from 1 species